GACUGGAUGCUGAGGAAAUGAUUUGCUUGAUAAUUUAUUUGCAUUAUUUUCAUGCAGAACCAUCUUCUCCUCUCUGGACCUGCACAGCUAGGACUGCAGUGAACAAAGGAAGAUGCUCCUUCAUGGUUAAACCAGUAGGCAGGGUUGGUCCACAAACUUCAAGAACCAGUGACCCUGACUGCCAAGUGAUUUGCCAAAGGGAUUUAUGGUUUUGCAUUUGAUGGUUUCCAGGAACUGCUAAGAGUGAGAUCAUCCCUUAAGCAGUGACUGCCAGAGGAAGGUGAGAGACAUAUGGUGGCCUUACAGGUAUUCUUUCCAAAUCUACAUUAAGAGAUUACACAGAAAAUGUCUGCAUCUAAAUAUAUGCCUCAUGAAAUAAAAUUCAUGAACCUUUUUUAUUUCCUCUCAUGACCCAUGAUUGGGAUUUUGUCUGAAUAUCAAUAAUGCCAAAAUAAAUAUAGAACUGUUAAAAUCUCACUGAAUUAUCCAUUAUUAUAAGGAAAUUAUAGUAAAGACAUUGUGACUAUAGAGACAAAAAAGUAGAACUUAUAGGAUUAAAAAUAAUAGAUAUUUUACAGUAUUUCAUGAGACCAAGAGACAGAGCGUAAAGAGUUCAUGCAGUCUGUGGGGUUGAAGAUCUUUCACUUGUGUUCUUGCACUUUACCUAUUAUUCUCUUAAUCCUGCACACAUUGCCUUCUUGUUGAAAAAAAGUCAUGAUAGAGGACAAUCAGAAGUUCUAUUGCUGAGAAAGUAAAUGAGGAAAAUGUGAAAGUUAGGUAUGUGAGAUUAAAUGUGGCCAGCAUGAUAUAGUAGAAGCACACACACACACACACAAAACCACCCUACAGUAGAAGGCAAAAUUCCUGGUUUCUAACUGUAAGUGUACACUUAAAAAUGUUGACAUUUAGUUUGGGUUGAUUUCUCCUACAAAAUAGGAAUGAUAUGUAACAACUUUGAAGCCUCCAUCAUAGGGAUUUUGUAAAUGACAAAUCACAUGUUUGUAAAUCUACUUUGAAAAGAUGAGAUAUGUAUUUCUACAGAGAAAUCUCAAGUCUUCUGGAAAGUAAAUAUUAAAAAAAUCUUCUAAAAAUCUGUGCCUUUAUUACCUCUUUGUGAAUGACUCUACCCUCCAUCUAAUCACGUUAGCCAAAAAUAUGGGAAUCCUGCACCAACUUUUAAAAUCCAAUUUAGUGGUAUUUUGACAGCACCCACACUGAGACUCAGAGAUCAACAUAAUGAGUUAGGCAACGUUGUCUUCCUUAAAGGUUCUCAAGCUAUUCUGGACCUACCAGUUUUUUACAUUUUGUAUCUUAUUCAUUGACACGAAUGGUAAAACACAAGCUGAGCCCAUUCCAUAAGGUGUUUGUGACUAAAAGUCUAAUGAAAAAGAAUUUGAACGUGGUCCACUAUGAAUUUCAGACUUGUUUGAUAGGUGAUGGGGAGGGGGACAGUGAAAGUUGAAUUGAAGACAGAAAUAAGAGGAUCUGUAAAAUAAGUCAUGAUGAAUAAGUUAGAAUUUGUGCUAUACUGAGAGGCAAGGCCAGAGAUGUCAAAGAAUCAUGGUCACAGUUAUAAUGUGAAAUGUGCUCAACAUAUUCCUUGCUUGAUUGACCUUUUCACUUCUUACAGAAGGCAGAAUGUAGACUGAGUAGAACAACAGUGUUCAAUGAUGCUGAUAAAAAAUGUCAGUAAAAGAUAGAAGCUUUGGUUUAAUUGAUACACCCUCACCUUUGAUUCUUAAAAGGAAAAUUACCAGGUUACAUUCAAUUUACAUGUUUAAUUGCCAUAUGUACUCUUAUUGAACCUCUGGGUUUGAGUAAGGUAUAUUUGGGAAUAGUAUUUAAUGAGUCAGCAUACAGGUUAUGAAGUAUUCAGAUUUGAAAUAUUAUCAUAAAUGUUACACAUUUGUACUUACUGGCAAGUGAGGAUGAGAAUUCAGCAAUUGCAUUUAAGUAUCUUUUAUACUUGUUCUUGAUUUUAUUUCUACUAACGUUGCUGUAGUUUAGACACUUUUCUCAAAUAUUUUUCAAAAAAUUUGUAACUGAUAUAACAUUCUUCAAUCUUGUCCAUUCCAAACCAUCCUUAACUCUGCUUCCAGAAUUGUCUUUAAAACUUAAAAGUCUGAUUAGGUUAUUACAGUUCCUUAGUACUUUAAUUCCUUCAGUGGCAUCCAAAGACAAAGAAUAAAACAAAAUCUAUUUUCAAAAGCCAUAAACCUGUCUAGCCAUGAUUCUUACCUCUCUGUCUCAUGACUUAAAUCAAAUGUGGAACAUAUGUGUGUGUGUGUAUGUAUAUAUGCAAGUGUGUAUAUAUACAUAUAUGGAUAUAAAUUAUACAUCUAUAUCUAUACAUAUAUAGUCAUUUUUCAAUUUUUUUCUGAACACCUAUUGCAUUUUUUAUUAGAAGAACUUACAUUUCCAUGGUCAGAGAUGAAUAAUAAACAGCAACAGCAAAACAAAACAAAACAAAACAAACAGCAAUUCAUUAAAAUAAUAAAUAUGGUAAUAUGUUCUGAAGAAAAUGAAAGAGGAUAUGAAAUAGAGUGACUAAAGUGUGGAGAUGGAAUAAGCCCUAUUUUCAGUAGGCUGGAUCUUCCAGAGGAAGUGAUAUCUGAACUCAGACUUGAAGUAAUUCAUCGAUACAAACAGCUGGGAUAAGCAAAGUCUUAAGAAAAGAGAACAACAUGUGGGAAGACUUUCAAAACAGUAAAAACUUCACAGUAGCUGGAACAUAGUCAGGGGUGGGUGGAGAGAAUUGGUUUAAAGUAAAAUUGAAAAGUCAGUAGGGCCAGGUAGUGUAUAAUAAUAACUUUUAGCAAGAAGAGCAGUAACAGUAAUGAUAACGAAUAUACAAUAUGCCAAACACUAUUUCAAACAAGCAUUUACUAGUUUUAUCUUAACAAUAUCUGUGUGUCAAAGGAACUAUUAUUAACCACUAUUUUGCAAGUGAGGACAUGGAGCAAAGAGAAAACUAAUGGCUUGCCUAAGAUCACAUAAUAAAACUUACAGCUGGUAAAUGAUAAAAUCUGUCACUAACACGGGCAGUCUGACUUUAGAAUCUGUAGUUGUAAUCAUCAUUCUACACACUAUAUGUAGGAACUUAACAGAAUAAGUAUUUUAAUUUCUUCUAAAUGCAAUGGGAAGCUAAUGCAAAGUAGCAAGCAAGGAAGGUAAGAUAUAAUUUACCCUUCAAAAAGAUCCCUCUCGCCACUAUGUAGGAGAGUUUGUGUGUUUGUUUGAGGGGGGUGUGCUUACAAAAAUGAAAACAGAAAGGCCGGUUAAAGGACAAGUGCAGUCAUUCAGGCAAAAGAUGGUUAUGAUUUGGACUAAAUAAUAGUAGGUAAGCUUAUGAGAAUUUGUGAAAUUCGUAUGUAUCUUGAAGGUAAAGAUAACAGAUUUGUUGAUCAAUGAGAAGAAUAGAUUGUGAGAUUAGACUAUUAAGGAAGAUUUAAUUUUUGCUCACUGAAUGUGUAGAUGAUAAUCCCAUUAACUAAGAUGGGAAAUAUCAGGUGGCAGGGGAGUAAGUUGGGAAAAGUAGGAAAUAAACGGUCUUUGCUUGGAAAAUGUUAAGUUUGUCAUGCCCAUUGGAUAUCCAAAUGGAGAGUUUAAGCAGAUAAUUAAAAAUGAAUGUUUGGUGCUCAGGGCGAGGUCAGGACUAAAUCAAUAAAUUUGUGCAUCAUCAGUAUAUGGAUAAAAUUUAGGCCGGGAGCGGUGGCUCACGUCUGUAA